AUACCAGGUGCUGUAAGCUU
rnacentral:rRNA from 1 species